rnacentral:rRNA from 1 species
GUACGGGAGGCAGCAGUAGGGAAUUUUGCGCAAUGGACGAAAGUCUGACGCAGCAACGCCGCGUGAGGGAUGAAGGUCUUCGGAUUGUAAACCUCUGUUGAUUGGGAAGAAUAACGUCGCGGACAAUAACCGCGAGGGAUGACGGUACCAGUCGAGGAAGCCCCGGCUAACUACGUGCCAGCAGCCGCGGUAAUACGUAGGGGGCAAGCGUUGUUCGGAAUUACUGGGCGUAAAGGGAGCGUAGGCGGAUUGGCAAGUUAGGAGUGAAAUCCACAGGCUUAACCUGUGGGUUGCUUUUAAAACUGCUUUUCUUGAGUAUUGGAGAGGAUGAUGGAAUUCCAGGUGUAGCGGUGGAAUGCGUAGAUAUCUGGAAGAACACCAGUUGCGUAGGCGGUCAUCUGGCCAAAUACUGACGCUGAGGCUCGAAAGCUAGGGGAGCAAACAGGAUUAGAUACCCCUGU